rnacentral:rRNA from 1 species
GCAAGUCGAGGGGUAACAUUUCAGCUUGCUGACGAUGACGACCGGCGCACGGGUGAGUAACGCGUAUGCAAUCUACCUUGUACUGGGGGAUAGCCCGGAGAAAUCAGGAUUAAUACCGCAUAAUAUGUUUGAUUCGCAUGGAUUGAUUAUUAAAGUUUAGGGGGUACAAGAUGAGCAUGCGUAGCAUUAGUUAGUUGGUAAGGUAACGGCUUACCAAGACGAUGAUGCUUAGGGGGUCUGAGAGGAUAGUC